rnacentral:rRNA from 1 species
AUUGAACGCUGGCGGCAGGCCUAACACAUGCAAGUCGAGCGGGGUUUUCGGACCUAGCGGCGGACGGGUGAGUAAUGCGUAGGAAGCUGCCCGAUAGAGGGGGAUACCAGUUGGAAACGACUGUUAAUACCGCAUAAUGUCUACGGACCAAAGUGUGGGACCUUCGGGCCACAUGCUAUCGGAUGCGCCUGCGUGGGAUUAGCUAGUUGGUGAGGUAAUGGCUCACCAAGGCGACGAUCUCUAGCUGGUUUGAGAGGAUGAUCAGCCACACUGGAACUGAGACACGGUCCAGACUCCUACGGGAGGCAGCAGUGGGGAAUAUUGGACAAUGGGCGCAAGCCUGAUCCAGCCAUGCCGCGUGUGUGAAGAAGGCCUUCGGGUUGUAAAGCACUUUCAGCGAGGAGGAAGGGGUGUGUGUUAAUAGUACACACCUUUGACGUUACUCGCAGAAGAAGCACCGGCUAACUCUGUGCCAGCCGCCGCCGUAAGAC